rnacentral:rRNA from 1 species
GGGGAGGUAGUGACGAAAAAUAACAAUACAAGACUCAUAUCCGAGGCCUUGUAAUUGGAAUGAGUACACUUUAAAUCCUUUAACGAGGAUCAAUUGGAGGGUAAGUCUGGUGCCAGCAGCCGCGGUAAUUCCAGCUCCAAUAGCGUAUAUUAAAGUUGUUGCGGUUAAAACGUUCGUAGUUGAACUUGUGUUCCAUACGGGUAGUACACCUAAAAUAUUGGUUUGUACGUUACCUUUUAGUUAUGUGAACGUAUUACCGGUGGAGUUUAUUUAGUUAAUUAUUCAUUUUUUUGAAUUAUUUAACAAAUAACUCCUAUAUGUACCUGCUUCAAUGCUCUUUACCGGGUGUUGUAGUGGGCCGGUACAAUUACUUUGAACAAAUUAGAGUGCUUAAAGCAGGCUCCAAACGCCUGAAUAUUUUGUGCAUGGAAUAAUGAAAUAAGACCUCUGUUCUACUUUCAUUGGUUUUUAGAUCAAGAGGUAAUGAUUAAUAGAAGCAGUUGGGGGCAUUAGUAUUACGACGCGAGAGGUGAAAUUCUUGGACCGUCGUAAGACUAACUUAAGCGAAAGCAUUUGCCAAAGAUGUUUUCAUUAAUCAAGAACGAAAGUUAGAGGUUCGAAGGCGAUCAGAUACCGCCCUAGUUCUAACCAUAAACGAUGCCAGCUAGCAAUUGGGUGUAGCUACUACUAUGGCUCUCUCAGUCGCUUCCCGGGAAACCAAAGCUUUUGGGCUCCGGGGGAAGUAUGGUUGCAAAGCUGAAACUUAAAGGAAUUGACGGAAGGGCACCACCAGGAGUGGAGCCUGCGGCUUAAUUUGACUCAACACGGGAAAACUUACCAGGUCCGAACAUAAAUGAGUAAGACAGAUUGAUAGCUCUUUCUCGAAUCUAUGGGUGGUGGUGCAUGGCCGUUCUUAGUUCGUGGAGUGAUUUGUCUGGUUAAUUCCGAUAACGAACGAGACUCAAAUAUAUUAAAUAGAUGCAUUCAGGAUUAUGAUGUUUGAAACUUAACAUAUCCUUCUUAUAUGAAAUAUAGCAAUAUAUGGAUUGUUUGAAGUGUUUAUGUAAGUGGAGUCGUACCUGUUUGUUUGUCCCAUUAAUACGGACACUAGCUUCUUAAAUGGACAAAUUGCGUCUAGCAAUAAUGAGAUUGAGCAAUAACAGGUCUGUGAUGCCCUUAGAUGUCCUGGGCUGCACGCGCGCUACAAUGAAAGUAUCAACGUGUAUUUCCUAGAUCGAGAGAUCCGGGUAAACCGCUGAACCACUUUCAUGCUUGGGAUUGUGAACUGCAACUGUUCACAUGAACCUGGAAUUCCCAGUAAGUGCGAGUCAUUAACUCGCAUUGAUUACGUCCCUGCCCUUUGUACACACCGCCCGUCGCUACUACCGAUUGAAUUGUUUAGUGAGGUCUCCGGACGUGAUCACUGAGACGCCUAUGUGUGUUUCGGAUGUUUUACAGAAGUUGACCGAACUUGAUUAUUUAGAGGAAGUAAAAGUCGUAACAAG